UGUUGGGGCCAGGGUAAGGAGGAGAUAGAGGGCACUAGGCGUUACACAGAUACCACACAGUGGAUGAAAGCCUAAGUGGGGAGCGCACCCCUGAGGAAGAUUCUCUGGGUCACUCCUCUCAUACUCGUCUAACUCUGGAAAUAUUGGAUAUGGGUGUCCCUUCCAGCUCUUUCUACACCAUCCAAGACCCAGUCCUGGCUGGCCCUGCCUGGGACUUUGGUGCUCACCAGCAUCUGUGGAAUCCAGCCCGUGCUCUGGUUGGAUGGAGAAAAUGUACAUGGACCCGACAAAGCCACAGGGACACAACUAUAUGAGAGGGCCUCUUACAAAGGCCUCCAUCUAUUGGAGGCCCAGAUGGAGCCCAGAUAACUGGAGGCCCAGAUAACUCCUGAUCUCUCUAUACUCCGCACCUGCCAGGGUACCCCAUCUAUGGGCCUUAACUCCACACAGGUGCUGCUGGUUCUCAGGCUUUGGAUUCUGGAUUGGAACUGUACCACCAGCCCGCUUUCCCAGGCCUCCAGCUUGCAGAUGGCAGAUUGUGGAACUUCUUAGCCUCCAUAGUCAUCAGGAAUUGCUUUCUGCUGGAAGUUAAAAAUGGAACACAUCGCAGACCCAGAGCUCACCACCUGUAAGCUAGGUCUCCCCCUGGGGUUUGGGCCACAGAGCAUCGCAGGCACCGUUGAAUGAAUUGGACACAUAACACAGAGGUCUGCUCACUGCACGUAGGUUGGGAGGCUCAGUCACCACUGAAGCUAAGGAGAUGUGUUGAACUGUUGAAAUGAAUUCGUUCCUCAUCACGGAGGAAAAGAAAUCUUUGUUUAUGCUAAGCAGCAAAGAUUGUUAUCACAGAAUUGGCCUUUUGGGUUGGCAAACACUUUGAACGCCGUGCAAAGUCAUCCAUUAGAGUUAUGAAACAUUAUGGAGACAGUGAUCUGGCAGAGCGUUAUUUGGUCUUCUUUUCUGUGCUAGAAUUAGCUCUAGAACUGUAGCUGAUGGUCAGAGCCCUGUGAUGGAAAUUCUGUGAUGCUGAAAGCUGACUUUGUCGUUGACUUCAGCUCUGUGAAGGUAACCUUCCCCUGCUCAGUGCUCCUUUAUCUCUUCAUACAUACUUGCAGUGUGAAAGGUGAUCUGUGGUGCGACACAGGACUGGACAUCUAGCACAGUGACACCAGAGCCCCAAACUCCUGCAAAUAUCUGAACAGUUGUGCAAAGAUUGUUAAAACUCUUUGAAAAUGCCUACGUUUGUGAACAGUUCUUCUCAAUUAUUGAAGUCAAGGCUACCAGUCAAGGCUGAGUUCCGUGCUCGCGUGGAACUUGGUACAAGAUUUAAACAAUGAUGUGCUAAAGAAAAAGUCGCAGAUUUCUGGUUCCAAAACAAGAGUUAACAAAUUGUGAAAGAAAAUGUUAAAAGUAAAAUAUUUCUAUUUUAUGUUUUUUUUUUUUUUUCCAAUUUUGAAUUUAAGUUACCAUUGUCAAUAUCAGGUGUAUGCAUUAUGUGGUAUGGUUGUAAUCCUGGUUCAGAAAAAUAAAGUUUGAUUAUGCUUCUGGCA